rnacentral:lncRNA from 1 species
GAGUGCUAACUCUACAUUGUUGUGUUCGAGUUUCCUUGAGGAGUUCUCUAUCGCUAGGUGUGAAAGCCUACAGAGUCUUGAAUCUUCCCAAGGUGCGUCAGCUGUGGGUAAGUUGCUGUCAAGUUUAAGGCGUGUGGAUGAGUUGGGCAGUUUGGAGCAGCUGUGGCUGAAUGUGGAUACGCAGGACCUCGCUUCUCAGUGGGUGCCUGGGCUUAAACAACAGCGCCAAUAACUCCAUGGGGAAGACCUGGAUAUCUACACAUGGUGACUGAGGUACGAGAAAAACUGGGCAUUAAUUUAGUUGCUCCUUAAUUUGUUUGGUUGUCCAUCUAAUUAAUGUUGUUUUCUCUCUGAAUUUUGUAGUUUCAACCGACACUAGCAUCUUGAAUUUGUGGAUAUUAGUCUUCUGUAGGAAGGAGGACUGAUGAUAAAGUGCAACGAUCAAGAUGAACUGAGGUCGAAAGGUGGGAACUGAGAGAUGGAAAUCAAGAGCAGCUGCAUGCGAUGCAUCGAUUCUUGCUCUAAGGUUGGGUCUAUGAGAACACAGGGAACACAGGGAGAAGGCUUCCUCUCUUCUUUGGCCCAUUGGAAGCCUUGUUUAAUCUUGUUCAAGUGUUUGCUAUUGUUGUGUGCAUGUCUAAACAAAAUGUGUGCUACUUACUUGAGUUUCUCCAUUAAUUCAUUCUGUAAGAUGGGCUUCUAUUCCUUGUACUUAGCGAACAUGUAAUCAUAUCUUGGCUGGUGCCUAUGCUGCUGCUCCGUCGUCAAUUUGUCACCUGCUCUUUCACUGUGAUGCGAUUACAAUUUGUUAGGUGCAAUCAAUUUCUUCCGUUCUGUUCUCAAAAGAAUGUCAGAACUUGGAGAAUCACAGCCAUCAAGAUGCACUGAUGUCGGAACUCGGAGAAGGCUUCCUCUCUUCUUUGGCCCAUGGGAAGGCUUGUUUAAUGUUGUUCGAGUCUUUGGGUAUCCUUGUGUGCAUAUCUGAAUAAAUUGU